GAGUCACGGUUAGAUUAGAGGUUCCAUUUUCAGGAAAGAUGAGAAAGCUUGAAACCCCUGUGGUUAUCAACAAUCUUCUAGAAUUAUGCAAAAUUGUGGGUGGAUGGAUAUUAUCCUCACUUUCCUGUUGAAACUUGAGCUGUCAUUGUGACUAGUACUUACCAACCUAAGCUUCUUGGUUUUUCUAGGGAUGUGGAACUGCUCAGUCUUUGGGCAAAUAUCCAAAACCCUGAAGGCUCCUUUUACAGGAGCUGAAAAGAUAGUUUUCAGACUAAGGUUUCUGAAAUUGGAACCUGACAUUGUAGGGGAUUUUAUUUCCUAUUUUGCAAUGUAGCUCUCAGCUUAACAAAAGAAGCAAAAGUACACCAACAUGCAUAUUUUGGAAUUGAUAAUAAUAAUACUAAAAAGUAGCAGUAGUACCCUGUUUCCCUGAAAAUAAGACAUUCCCAGAAAAUAAGACCUAGUAGAGGUUUUGCUGAAUUGCUAAAUAUAAGCCCUCCCCCAAAAGUAAGACGUAGUAAAGUUUUUGUUUGGAAGCAUGCAGGAUCGGUAAAUGUACAUACCAUAGAUCAGGGGUCCUCAAACUUUUGAAGCAGAGGGCCGGUCCACAACCCUUCAGACUGUGGAGGGGCCAAAUUAUCAUUUGAAAAAAAACCCCGAACAAAUUCCUAUGCACACUGCACAUGUCUUAUUUGUAGUGCAAAACAGCAACAACAAUGAAAGAACAAUACAAUAUUUAAAAAUGAAAAUAAUUGUAACCAACAUAAACCUAUCAGGAUUUCAAUGGGAAGUGUGGGCCUGCUUCUGGCCAAUGAGAUAGUCAAGUUAAUUAGGAUUGUUGUUGUUGUGUGCCUUCAAGUCAUUUCAGACUUUGGGCGAGCCUAAGUCUAAAAUUAUUUAUUUAUUCAUUUACUACAUUUAUUUACUACAUUUAUAUCCCACCCUUCUCACCCCGAAGGGGACUCAGAGCAACUGUAUGUACAUACAAUAUAUGUUAUGGUUGAGCCUUCGGGCUCCGGUAAUGAAAGAAGGGGUCGUAAGACUCCUCGAGAGUCAGACACUCUCGAGGAGCGUGAAAGGAAACUGCUCCAGGAUUUGUUUGCAGAGCCGACAGAUGAGGACUCAUUUGAGGGUUUUUCUCAGGGUUUGGAGGAAGAGAUGGCCAGCUCGGAGGAGGAUGAUAUGGAAUGGACUCGUGUGAGGGAGGAUUUGGGUGUUGGGGAAACAGGCAAUGAAAGCAUGGGAGGUGAUUGGCGGGUUGCAGGAUCAGACCCAUGGACUGGUUGGAGGGAUGGAACGGGAUCCACAGCUGGGGAUGCUGUGGGGCGUAGUCGAAGGUGCUUAAGCUCUGAUGAGGAUAAUGAUGUUGGGGCGUCUGGAAUUGGGAUGGCAGCUGACAGCGAUGAUGAGCUUGAACUGUAAUAAAAUGGGGUUUGGGACCAAUGUCUAAUUGUGUUGGGCAAGGUAAUCUGGACGGACGCUUGGGCUCUUGCUGGGGAAUUUCCUGAAGACGGGUGUGAUUCAUUACUGGAUACCUUGGACCUCCGUCGUCUUUUUGACGGGCAAUACCUACUUUCACUGGAUUGACGCUGGACUGACUGACUACGAUUCCGGAUUAACCCUUCUGCUGGCUAUCGGUGUGACCUUUGGAUUCCUUGACGACUACGCUUGGCUAUUGAUCUUCUGGACCGGAUUGGGACCCUGCUGACUGCCGUUACCCUAAACCUGAAUCUUGACUACGACCACGCUUUCGUUCGCUGCAGGAAGGAGUAAACAAGCCUAGUUUACUCCCCUGCUGUUCCUCAGUAGCAGAGAGGAAUCUGCCGCCAGUCUUUUGUUUACAUUCCAACUCCUGUUGUUCCUCUUUUGUUUGCAUUGUUUGCCAAACUGAAGUAAGCUCUUUGAUUUAAUCCGGAUUAUACUCCUGUUUAACCCGGUUUUUCCCUUUGAACUGUUUAAGCUCAAACUGAGCUGCUUUUUGUUAUUUAGCACACUGAAGUCAAGUGUUUGCCCUGUUCUUUGUUUCUUACGGGCGUUUUUAGUUCUGUAACCUCAAUAAACUGAGUUUUGUUUUA